rnacentral:rRNA from 2 species
UGGGGAAUAUUGGGCAAUGGGCGAAAGCCUUACCCAGCAAUGCCGCGUGAGUGAUGAAGGUCUUCGGAUUGUAAAGCUCUUUGAUUAGGGACGAAGAAAGUGACGGUACCUAAAGAACAAGCCCCGGCUAACUACGUGCCAGCAGCCGCGGUAAUACGUAGGGGGCAAGCGUUGUCCGGAAUGACUGGGCGUAAAGGGUGUGUAGGCGGUUUUACAAGUUAGAUGUGAAAUACCCAGGGCUUAACUCGGGUGCUGCAUCUAAGACUGUAAGACUUGAGUGUCGGAGAGGUAAAUGGAAUUCCUAGUGUAGCGGUGGAAUGCGUAGAUAUUAGGAGGAACACCAGUGGCGAAGGCGAUUUACUGGACGAUAACUGACGCUGAGGCACGAAAGCGUGGGGAGCAAACAGG